rnacentral:rRNA from 1 species
GACGAACGCUGGCGGCGUGCUUAACACAUGCAAGUCGAACGGAAAGGCCCUGCUUUUGUGGGGUGCUCGAGUGGCGAACGGGUGAGUAACACGUGAGUAACCUGCCCUUGACUUUGGGAUAACUUCAGGAAACUGGGGCUAAUACCGGAUAGGAACUCCUGCUGCAUGGUGGGGGUUGGAAAGUUUCGGCGGUCGGGGAUGGACUCGCGGCUUAUCAGCUUGUUGGUGGGGUAGUGGUUUACCAAGGCAUUGACGGGUAGCCGGCCUGAGAGGGUGACCGGCCACAAUGGGACUGAGGUACGGCCCAGACUCCUACGGGAGGCAGCGGUGGGGAAUAUUGCACAAUGGGCGGAAGCCUGAUGCAGCAACGCCGCGUGCGUGAUGACGGCCUUCGGGUUGUAAACCGCUUUCGCCUGUGACGAAGCGUGAGUGACGGUAAUGAGUAAAGAAGCACCGGCUAACUACGUG